rnacentral:rRNA from 1 species
CUACGGGUUGCUGCAGUGGGGAAUAUUGCACAAUGGGGGAAACCCUGAUGCAGCCAUGCCGCGUGUGUGAAGAAGGCCUUCGGGUUGUAAAGCACUUUCAGUUGUGAGGAAAGGUUGUAGAUUAAUACUCUGCAGCUGUGACGUUAGCAACAGAAGAAGCACCGGCUAACUCCGUGCCAGCAGCCGCGGUAAUACGGAGGGUGCGAGCGUUAAUCGGAAUUACUGGGCGUAAAGCGCGUGUAGGUGGCUUGUUAAGCCAGAUGUGAAAGCCCCGGGCUCAACCUGGGAACUGCAUUUGGAACUGGCAGGCUAGAGUUUUGUAGAGGGUGGUAGAAUUUCAGGUGUAGCGGUGAUAUGCGUAGAGAUCUGAAGGAAUACCGGUGGCGAAGGCGACCACCUGGCCAAUAACUGACACUGAGACGCGAAGGCGUGGGUAGCAAACGGGAUUAGAUACCCGAGUAGUC